UUGAUCAUGGCUCRGGACGAACGCUGGGCAGGCCUAACACAUGCAAGUCGAACGCUCUCUUCGGAGAGAGUGGCGCACGGGUGAGUAACACGUGGGAACCUACCCUGAGGUGCGGAAUAACCAUUGGAAACGAUGGCUAAUACCGCAUUAAUCUACGGGGGAAAGAUUUAUCGCCUUGGGAUGGGCCCGCGGUCGAUUAGCUAGUUGGUGUGGUAAUGGCGCACCAAGGCGACGAUCGAUAGCUGGUCUGAGAGGAUGAUCAGCCACACUGGGACUGAGACACGGCCCAGACUCCUACGGGAGGCAGCAGUGGGGAAUAUUGGACAAUGGCCGCACGUGAUCCAGCCAUGCCGCGUGAGUGAUGAAGGCCUUCGGGUUGUAAAGCUCUUUCAGGUGGGACGAUGAUGACGGUACCACCAGAAGAAGCCCCGGCUAACUUCGUGCCAGCAGCCGCGGUAAUACGGRGGGGGCUAGCGUUGUUCGGAAUCACUGGGCGUAAAGCGCGCGUAGGSGGUCAUGCCAGUCAGGGGUGAAAGCCCAGGGCUCAACCCUGGAACGGCCUUUGAUACUGCAUGACUUGAGUUCGGGAGAGGGGUAUGGRAUUCCCAGUGUAGAGGUGAAAUUCGUAGGUAUUGGGAAGAACACCAGUGGCGAAGGCGGUGCCCUGGCCGAGACUGACGCUGAGGUGCGAAACGUGGGGAGCAAACAGGAUUAGAUUCCCUGAUGUCACGCCGUAACGAUAGUGCUUAUUUCGGGCGCAUUCGYCCGGUGUCGCASUACGCAUUUAGCACUCCGCCUGGGAGUGGCCGCAAGGUUAAACUCAAAGGAAUUACGGGGGCCGCACAAGCGGUGGAGCAUGUGGUUUAAUUCGAAGCAACGCGCAGAACCUUACCAGCCCUUGACAUCCCGUGACCGCUCUGGAGACAGAGUUUUUCUCGGGGACACGGUGACAGGUGCUGCAUGGUGUCGUCAGCUCGUGNCGUGAGAUGUUGGGUUCAGUCCCGCAACGAGCGCAACCCNUGCCAUBCAGNNNNCGGCUGGGCACUCUGAAGGAACUGCCGGUGACAAGCCGGAGGAAGGUGGGGAUGACGUCAAGUCCUCAUGGCCCUUACGGGCUGGGCUACACACGUGCUACAAUGGCGACUACAAUGGGCAGCGACACGGCGACGUAAAGCUAAUCUCCAAAAGUCGUCUCAGUUCGGAUUGCACUCUGCAACUCGGGUGCAUGAAGUCGGAAUCGCUAGUAAUCGUGGAUCAGCAUGCCACGGUGAAUACGUUCCCGGGCCUUGUACACACCGCCCGUCACACCAUGGGAGUUGGUUCUACCCGAAGACGGUACGCUAACCGCAAGGAGGCAGCCGGCCACGGUAGGGUCAGCGGCUUGGGUGAAGUCGUAACA
rnacentral:rRNA from 1 species